CCUACGGGAGGCAGCAGUGAGGAAUAUUGGUCAAUGGACGAGAGUCUGAACCAGCCAAGUAGCGUGAAGGAUGACUGCCCUAUGGGUUGUAAACUUCUUUUAUAUGGGAAUAAAAUGUUCCACGUGUGGGAUUUUGUAUGUACCAUAUGAAUAAGGAUCGGCUAACUCCGUGCCAGCAGCCGCGGUAAUACGGAGGAUCCGAGCGUUAUCCGGAUUUAUUGGGUUUAAAGGGAGCGUAGGUGGAUUGUUAAGUCAGUUGUGAAAGUUUGCGGCUCAACGGUAAAAUUGCAGUUGAAACUGGCAGUCUUGAGUACAGUAGAGGUGGGCGGAAUUCGUGGUGUAGCGGUGAAAUGCUUAGAUAUCACGAAGAACUCCGAUUGCGAAGGCAGUUCACUGGACUGCAACUGACACUGAGGCUCGAAAGUGUGGGUAUCAAACAGGAUUAGAUACCCGAGUAGUC
rnacentral:rRNA from 1 species